GCCGCUGCCAGUCUCGCGACUGGGAGAGGAAAGUCCGGGCAACGCAGAGCACCGUCCUUCCUAACGGGAAGAUGUCCGUAAAGGCAUAGCAGCGUAACAGAAAACGACCGCCUUGAUUUUCAAGGUAAGGGUGAAAAGGCGGGGUAAGAGCCCACCGCGGAAGUGGCGACACGUUCCGGCCGUACGUCUGACGGGUUGCAAGACCAUGUAUACCGGCGCCAUCAGGGUUGCUCGCCCGAUGCCGGGGGGUAGGUCGCUGGAGACUGCGGGUGACCGCAGCCGUAGAUAAAUGGCAGAGGCCUGCCGUCCUGCGGCAGGUACAGAACCCGGCUUAUACGCCCUG
rnacentral:RNase_P_RNA from 1 species